rnacentral:rRNA from 1 species
GCAAGUCGAACGCAGUAGCAAUACUGAGUGGCAGACGGGUGAGUAACAUGUGGGAAUCUGCCUUGUGGUUCAGGACGACAUUGGGAAACCGAUGCUAAUACUGGAUAAGCCCUUACGGGGAAAGUUUUAAUGCCAUAAGAUGAGCCCGCAUUUGAUUAGUUAGUUGGUGAGGUAAUGGCUCACCAAGACAAUGAUCAAUAGCUGAUCUGAGAGGAUGAUCAGCCACACUGGGACUGAGACACGGCCCAGACUCCUACGGGAGGCAGCAGUGGGGAAUCUUGCACAAUGGAGGAAACUCUGAUGCAGCGAUGCCGCGUGAGUGAAGAAGGCCUUUGGGUUGUAAAGCUCUUUUGUAGGGGAAGAUAAUGACUGUACCCUAAGAAUAAGGUCCGGCUAACUUCGUGCCAGCAGCCGCGGUAAUACGAAGGGACCUAGCGUAGUUCGGAAUUACUGGGCGUAAAGCGCGCGUAGGCCGUUGAGUUAGUUAAUUGUGAAAUCCCAAAGCUUAACUUUGGAACUGCAAUUAAAACUGCUCGACUAGAGUUUGAUAGAGGAAAGCGGAAUACAUAGUGUAGAGGUGAAAUUCGUAGAUAUUAUGUAGAACACCAGUUGCGAAGGCGGCUUUCUGGAUCAACACUGACGCUGAGGCGCGAAAGUAUGGGUAGCAAAGAGGAUUAGAUACCCUCGUAGUCCAUACCAUAAACGAUGAUUGCUAGAUGUUGGAAAUUUAUUUUCAGUAUCGCAGCUAACGCAUUAAGCAAUCCGCCUGGGGAGUACGACCGCAAGGUUAAAACUCAAAUGAAUUGACGGGGACCCGCACAAGCGGUGGAGCAUGUGGUUUAAUUCGAAGAUACGCGCAGAACCUUACCAACCCUUGACAUGUCUGUCGCGAGUUUAGGAAACUAGACUUUUCGGUUCGGCCGGACAGAACACAGGUGCUGCAUGGCUGUCGUCAGCUCGU